UGAAUUGACGGGGCCGCACAAGCGGUGGAGCAUGUGGUUAAUUCGACGCAACGCGAAGAACCUUACCAGGCUUGACAUCCCCUGACCGCGUAUGAAAGUACGUUUUCACCCUCGGGUGACAGGGAGACAGGUGGUGCAUGGUUGUCGUCAGCUCGUGUCGUGAGAUGUUGGGUUAAGUCCCGCAACGAGCGCAACCCCUACGUUUAGUUGCUAACGCGUGAAGGCGAGCACUCUAGACGAACUGCCGUUGACAAAACGGAGGAAGGUGGGAUGACGUCAAAUCAUCAUGCCCCUUAUGUUCUGGGCUACACACGUGCUACAAUGGCCGGUACAGACGGACGCAAAGCCGCGAGGUGGAGCAAAUCCUAAAAAGCCGGUCUCAGUUCGGAUUGCAGGCUGCAAUUCGCCUGCAUGAAGUCGGAAUCGCUAGUAAUCGCAGGUCAGCAUACUGCGGUGAAUACGUUCCCGGGCCUU
rnacentral:rRNA from 1 species